rnacentral:rRNA from 1 species
UUUUUGAAAUUAAUUUAAAGUCUAACCUGCCCACUGAAUUUUUAAAUGGCCGCAGUAUCUUAACUGUGCAAAGGUAGCAUAAUCAUUAGUCUUUUAAUUGAAGGCUGGUAUGAAUGGUUGGAUGAAAUAUUAACUGUUUCAAUUUAAUUAAAUAUAAAAUUUUAUUUUUUAGUCAAAAAGCUAAAAUAUAAUUAAAAGACGAGAAGACCCUAUAAAUCUUUAUAAUUAUAGGUAAAUAAAUAAAUAGAAUAUUUAAUUUAUUUAUUGUUUAAUUAUUUUAUUGGGGUGAUAUUAAAAUUUAAUAAACUUUUAAUAUAAAUUUUACAUAAAUUAAUGAAUUAUUGAUCCAUAAAUUAUGAUUAGAAAAUUAAGUUACUUUAGGGAUAACAGCGUAAUUUUUUUAGAGAGUUCAUAUUGAUAAAAA